rnacentral:tRNA from 1 species
CAAAUUAGAGCUUGAUUUAAGUUUCUCAUUUACAUUGAGAAGAUAUUGAUUUAUAUUAAUUAAUUUGA